rnacentral:rRNA from 1 species
UACGUAGGGGGCAAGCGUUGUCCGGAAUUAUUGGGCGUAAAGGGCGUGUAGGCGGUUUGUUAAGUCUGGCGUGAAAGCUCUCGGCUAAACCGGGAGAGGUCGUUGGAUACUGGCAGACUAGAGGACGGUAGAGGCGUGUGGAAUUCCGGGUGUAGUGGUGAAAUGCGUAGAGAUCCGGAGGAACACCAGUGGCGAAGGCGACACGCUGGGCCGUACCUGACGCUAAAGCGCGACAGCAUGGGGAGCAAACGGG